rnacentral:rRNA from 1 species
AUGGCCGCCGCCGCGUUCUCCAUCAGGGGGUACGCGGCGAGCAUGAGGGGCGAGGCGGCGGCGGAGGGUCGGCGUCCCUUGGGCAUCGAACAUCUCCCACCUAUUAAGGCGCCGCGGUUCCGGUGGUGGGCGGACGAGCUGGCCUCCGCCGUGGCUGCUGCUGCGCCGGCGGCGUCCCCGAGGAGGUCGCCAGGGAAGUCGAAGCCGCCGAAGAAGAGGUCCAUUUCUGACCUCUUCGCCGCGGCGCCUCCCUUGGACAUUCCCUCCGCCCCCGCCGGUGAUAGCGGAUGCAACGAGCAAACGAAGGUGGACGGCGACGAGGCGCUGUGCGCGAUCGUGAGGCGGGCCAAGGAGCAGAAGAAGCAGAAGAGGAGACUGCAGGAGGAACAGGAGGAGACGGCAGCGGCUGCCGCGCCGGAGAGCAGCGGAGGGCGAGAUCCGGAGGGGAAUUUCGCGGCCACAAAGGAAGCACAUGAAAAUCCAAAUUUACCUGAUGGACUGGAUGCUUGCCCAUCGCAGAAACCUGAGGCUUCACAACGUCGCAGGAAAGAGAGAGAAAAUAUAUCUGGGAGUAGGAAGAAGGCGAAGAUCAAUAAUGCAAAGAAGAAGGCUGACACAAAGAAGUGCAUUGACAAUAGCAAAGCUGGUAAAGUGGGAAAACCAAGAGAUCUGGGAAAAUCUCUCCCUAGGCAAGGCAUUCUGAAGUACACAGAGCACACAUCUGUGAAAAUGGCCAAUGAGAAACAUGUCAAUUCAAAAGGCCAUGAAGUAAUAGAACUAUGCUGCAAAUCAGUGAAGGGUGUCAAAUUCUCAGAAGCAGAUGGUGUAAUUGGCAGUAAGACGCAGAGUUGUGAGCUACCCAAACAACAAAGUCUCUGCAAGCUGUUCUCGGAUGCUAUGGCUUCAUCGUCAUUCUCUUCGUCAACAUCAUCCACGUCCAUUGAAGGAGACAAAUGUGUAACUGCAGAAACUAGUAGUUCUGACAUGCCCAACAAAGCCUUCGCUAAGACUAAAGAAGCAAAUAAGCAUUGCGAUAACAAGUACUCUGCUGAGCCUAGUAACAGAGAGAUGUCUGCUCCAUUCAUUGAUCUGAAUAUGACACCACCAGAAUGUACUGAUUUAGGCUGCACCUACGAUUCAAAUUUAGAGGUGCCCAAUCUUGAGCAUAGACAUGAUGAAACUUUAAGUUCUGAUGCUGAAUUGCUCGCUGGUGGAGAAAACUUGAUGAAUUUAUCUUUUGGCUCACAGGGACUGGAAAGCCAACCACCUGCUUCUGACUUUGAAAAAAUAAAGAGUUCAAGAUGGGCAGGCACAUUUUUGAAUGGUGAGGCAAUCAAUGUUUCCGACAUAGAUGCUGUUGGUUCUCCACUGAGCUUAAGAGAACUCGCCGAGACUCGUUGGGGUUGCAGUAAUGUUUCAGUAAAUGAUACCAUGACUAUGAGUACAUAUCCUUGUGCAUUGCCAGACCAGACAUUUCAGGAUUCAUUUACGCAGCACAAGACUUGGUUCUCCAGAAAUCUGAAUAAUGUUGGCUCCCAGCUUUCUCGUGAAUGUAAUGUGUCUCACAGCACGGAGUUAUAUUCUCGUUCUGAGUUGAACGUGGGGCACGAGUGUAGUCCUUCUACGGGACAGACAGUUCGUUUGAUGGGUAAAGAUCUUACAGUUUGCACGACCAGAGGUGAAUCGUUUGCUGAAACUGCACAGAAACAUACAGGAACUUCCACCAAUGACUAUCUUAAGGCAAAUGUAUUAUUGCCACAAGGACAGCCUUUUUUCUCUUUACAAGCUCAAAGUUUCCCCAAUGUUGCGGUAAAUUCUACCAGAACAACUCAAGCUUCAACAUAUCAUGCAAGCACAAGUCACGCACAUUUUGGGUACAGGACUCCACAUGAUUUCAGUCACCCGUUUCCUGCAGCUAAUAUAUUUUCUGGAGAUCGAUUGCCAUAUGAAAGCAGGUAUGGUGGUUUUUCAAACUCACGGACCAAUCAGACUUUUCUAUUGGGGUGUCCACCUCUUCCGAAUCAUAGCAGUGCAGCAUUCCAUCAGAAUACACCGCGUCCUUGGCGUUAUUUCUCUGAUCCCUUCGCUGGGGAUGAACCACCUGCAGCACCAUUUUUGCCUGUAACCGGACAGCAAAGGACACCACCUUCAGUGUUCCAUGCCGAUUUACCUCGUCAACAUGUUGUGCAUUCAGCAAGGUCGUCCGUUUGCCCUCUUAACUCUGUGAGUUAUACACUCAGCCAUCCAGGCCAGGUAAUUCAAGAAGUUUCCAACAGCACAGGAGAUGCAGCCCUUCUGUCCAGAAAUACAGAGAACCGAAUGAGGAGAGCUGUUCCUGACAAUUCCAAUGCUUCUUCUAGUUGUCGCAGUGUGCAGAAGAGAUCAGGACCGGUGAAGCUCACUCCCGGCGUGAAGCAUAUACUGGUGCCAAGCGAUAGCACACAUGGCGAUUCUAUGCCUGUGUACUCCUGUUUAUCCUUCGGAAGUAGGAGCGGAAAUGCUGCAGGGUCUCAGAACAAAGGAGCAUGA